UAGGGAAUCUUCCGCAAUGGACGAAAGUCUGACGGAGCAACGCCGCGUGAGCGAAGAAGGUCUUCGGAUCGUAAAGCUCUGUUGUCAGGGAAGAACAAGUACCGUUCGAACAGGGCGGUACCUUGACGGUACCUGACGAGGAAGCCACGGCUAACUACGUGCCAGCAGCCGCGGUAAUACGUAGGUGGCAAGCGUUGUCCGGAAUUAUUGGGCGUAAAGCGCGCGCAGGCGGUUCCUUAAGUCUGAUGUGAAAUCUCGCGGCUCAACCGCGAGCGGCCAUUGGAAACUGGGGAACUUGAGUGCAGGAGAGGGGAGCGGAAUUCCACGUGUAGCGGUGAAAUGCGUAGAGAUGUGGAGGAACACCAGUGGCGAAGGCGGCUCUCUGGCCUGUAACUGACGCUGAGGCGCGAAAGCGUGGGGAGCAAACAGG
rnacentral:rRNA from 1 species